UUAUUGGAGAGUUUGAUCCUGGCUCAGGACGAACGCUGGCGGCGUGCCUAAUACAUGCAAGUCGAGCGAAUCACUGGGAGCUUGCUCCCGGUGAUUAGCGGCGGACGGGUGAGUAACACGUGGGCAACCUGCCUGUAAGACUGGGAUAACUUCGGGAAACCGGAGCUAAUACCGGAUAAUUUCUUCCCUCGCAUGAGGGAAGGUUGAAAGUCGGUUUCGGCUGACACUUACAGAUGGGCCCGCGGCGCAUUAGCUAGUUGGUGAGGUAACGGCUCACCAAGGCGACGAU
rnacentral:rRNA from 1 species